rnacentral:lncRNA from 1 species
GAAUUCCUGUUUCAGAGGAAGCAGCACCUUCUUACUGCACAAGCAGCUGGUUAUAGUUUUCAGCUGAUGGGAUAGGUGGGGUAUUUUAUUUCCAGCAAGGAAGAAAUACAGCAUGGAAGAGAAAAAGUCGAGAUGUUUACUUCACAACAUGGGGAAGAAUAUUAUUAAUCUUGCCUGCCACACCAAAGGUUUACACUCUGUCUCCCUUAUCUGAGAGAGCAGAUUUUGCAUUAAGGAGUUUGGAAGUACAAGGACACCAGUUCAGGGUCUGCAGAGUUGGCCCUCUGGAGCAGAGCUGUGGACCACAGUCAGUAUUUUCACAGGUGCUUUUUGAGGAGAGCCUCCCCAGUACAGGUGCUGAGCUGGAGGGGAAGACCUGACCAGCAACUCUUAAUAAGAUCAGACUAGUAAAAGGGUCUGUAAAAUGGCAUGAUAAAGGUGUACAAGCUAAUUGAAGGCUGAAGAGUUUCUAGAGGCUAGCUGUUGUGUCAGAUGAAACAAACUGAAAUUCCUUUCAACAUGAGAAUUUACCUUAUUUAACUCGAUUACCAUGCUACUUACUUUUUUAUCUAGACCAUAAAGCUAUUGAAUGGCUCAUUUUUGUAAGUUAUAACUUUUAUAAGUCAUAAAAAAUAGUGAAAAAAUAGAAAUUAAUGUAAUUUUCAUAUCACACAAGAGAGACAACUUUGAAAGUCUAUAUUUAGUUCAUUCCAACUCUGAAAGUAUGUGGAAUAUAUAUCAGAGAUGUGCAACAGCAAUAAUUUUCAGGCAUUAUCUAAAAAUAGUUUAUAUUUUAGAUUUUCAGAUAAAGUCAAACUUAGAAAUGCUGAUAAGUUGAACUUAAAAAGCUCAUUUGGAAACCCCUGAAUUAACUAACUUUCACAGAUUUUUAAUGGAUAGUCUUUCCUUCCUGGCUAUCCUACCUGUUUAAUUUUGGAAAUGCUUUUAGACUUCUCCAGAGAUCAUUUG